GAUGAACGCUGGCGGCGUGUCUAAGGCAUGCAAGUCGAACGGACUGUUAUUUGUAGCAAUACUUAGAACAGUUAGUGGCAAACGGGUGCGUAACACAUUGGUAACCUGCCUCAAAGUCGGGCAUAAUCCCGCGAAAGUGGGACUAAUUCCACGAUGGUCAUCGAAGGUGAGAUUCCUUCGAUGUAAAGUCGCAAGACGCUUUGAGAGGGGCCUAUGGCCUAUCAGCUUGUUGGUGAGGUAACGGCUCACCAAGGCUAUGACGGGUAGGGGCGUGAGAGCACGACCCCCCUCACUGGGACGUGAGACACUGCCC
rnacentral:rRNA from 1 species